rnacentral:pre_miRNA from 1 species
GGAAUACGCUUUGCACAUUGGUGCAUUGUAGUUGCAUUGCAUGGAAGUUCAACCGGUGCAGUGCUCCUGCAGUGCAAUCAAUGUGAGGCGUCCUACUACCA